rnacentral:rRNA from 1 species
UGGGUAACCUGCCUCAAAGAGGGGAAUAGCCUCCCGAAAGGGAGAUUAAUACCGCAUAAUAUGUUUAAGUCGCAUGACUUUAACAUCAAAGGAUUUUCUUUUAGAAAUUCCACUUUGAGAUGGACCCGCGGUGCAUUAGCUAGUUGGUGAGGUAACGGCUCACCAAGGCAACGAUGCGUAGCCGACCUGAGAGGGUGAUCGGCCACAUUGGAACUGAGACACGGUCCAGCUCCGUAGGGAGG